GGUUCCAUGGUCUAAUGGUUAUGACACGAGACUCUGAAUCUCGUAAUCCGGGUUCGAUUCCCGGUGGGACCU